rnacentral:rRNA from 1 species
GUAGGUAACCUGCCUUGUAGCGGGGGAUAACUAUUGGAAACGAUAGCUAAUACCGCAUAACAAUGGAUGACACAUGUCAUUUAUUUUGAAAGGGGCAAUUGCUCCACUACAAGAUGGACCUGCGUUGUAUUAGCUAGUAGGUGAGGUAAUGGCUCACCUAGGCGACGAUACAUAGCCGACCUGAGAGGGUGAUCGGCCACACUGGGACUGAGACACGGCCCAGACUCCUACGGGAGGCAGCAUG